CCCCGCCCCCGCUCCUUUUCUUUUUGUGCAACGAAAAGAGGACGGCAAAUAGGGAGAGUUACAGCCACCUCUGAAACGAAUAGGUGCUGAGGAUAAUUCAAAGAUGAAGAAGAGGACUUAUUUCCUGCCUUUCAGGAGCUCACAAUCUAGCAGUGGAGAAAAAUACGGAGUCCUAAUUUGGUGCUUUUUUUCACUAUACCAUACCACCUCUCUUGGACCUUUUAAGGACUGGGUCAGCUGAUUCCUUGCCACACGCCAUGUGGGGAGAGACUACUGUGAUCAUCUUCCUCACUAGGACCACAUGGAGUAUGCGAUGGAAAUUUUUUCUAAGAAUGGGUUUCUAGCAGACAGGAACAAUGGGCUAACCACAACAAGUUGUUAAAGGGUAAGUCAUUCAUUGACAUGACAGGAACUCAUGAUGCAUUAAAUGAAAACAUGUUAUGAAAUAACUACAUGAAAAAUAAUCCCAGUUAUAUAAAGUUAUUUAUCUAUGUAUCUAUAUGUAUAUUAAGCAUAGAGAAUUCUGGAAGAAUGCUCACAAAUAAUUGAUGGUGUUUGUCUUUUACAGACUUCCCCAAUAAGUGGUCGCUCAGGAACAUGGAACUUACUAUUUACCCAAUCCAUUUUUUGAUGAAUGUUAACAAAUGUCUUCACUAUA